GCCUUCGUGGUGUAAUGGUCAGCCCACUUGGCGUGUAUUCGAGAGAUUCGUGGUUCGAGUCCCGGCGAGGGCA
rfam:Stegodyphus mimosarum contig56333, whole genome shotgun sequence.